UACGUAGGGUGCGAGCGUUGUCCGGAAUUAUUGGGCGUAAAGAGCUCGUAGGCGGUCUGUCGCGUCGAUCGUGAAAACUUGGGGCUUAACCCUGAGCUUGCGGUCGAUACGGGCAUGACUGGAGUUCGGCAGGGGAGACUGGAAUUCCUGGUGUAGCGGUGAAAUGCGCAGAUAUCAGGAGGAACACCGAUGGCGAAGGCAGCUCGCUGGGACGGUACUGACGCUCAUGCACGAAAGCGUGGGGAGCGAACAGG
rnacentral:rRNA from 1 species